GUUAAGCGACUAAGCGUACACGGUGGAUGCCCUGGCAGUCAGAGGCGAUGAAGGACGUGCUAAUCUGCGAUAAGCGUCGGUAAGGUGAUAUGAACCGUUAUAACCGGCGAUUUCCGAAUGGGGAAACCCAGUGUGAUUCGUCACACUAUCAUUAACUGAAUCCAUAGGUUAAUGAGGCGAACCGGGGGAACUGAAACAUCUAAGUACCCCGAGGAAAAGAAAUCAACCGAGAUUCCCCCAGUAGCGGCGAGCGAACGGGGAGCAGCCCAGAGCCUGAAUCAGUGUGUGUGUUAGUGGAAGCGUCUGGAAAGGCGCGCGAUACAGGGUGACAGCCCCGUACACAAAAAUGCACAUGCUGUGAGCUCGAUGAGUAGGGCGGGACACGUGGUAUCCUGUCUGAAUAUGGGGGGACCAUCCUCCAAGGCUAAAUACUCCUGACUGACCGAUAGUGAACCAGUACCGUGAGGGAAAGGCGAAAAGAACCCCGGCGAGGGGAGUGAAAAAGAACCUGAAACCGUGUACGUACAAGCAGUGGGAGCACGCUUAGGCGUGUGACUGCGUACCUUUUGUAUAAUGGGUCAGCGACUUAUAUUCUGUAGCAAGGUUAACCGAAUAGGGGAGCCGAAGGGAAACCGAGUCUUAACUGGGCGUUAAGUUGCAGGGUAUAGACCCGAAACCCGGUGAUCUAGCCAUGGGCAGGUUGAAGGUUGGGUAACACUAACUGGAGGACCGAACCGACUAAUGUUGAAAAAUUAGCGGAUGACUUGUGGCUGGGGGUGAAAGGCCAAUCAAACCGGGAGAUAGCUGGUUCUCCCCGAAAGCUAUUUAGGUAGCGCCUCGUGAAUUCAUCUCCGGGGGUAGAGCACUGUUUCGGCAAGGGGGUCAUCCCGACUUACCAACCCGAUGCAAACUGCGAAUACCGGAGAAUGUUAUCACGGGAGACACACGGCGGGUGCUAACGUCCGUCGUGAAGAGGGAAACAACCCAGACCGCCAGCUAAGGUCCCAAAGUCAUGGUUAAGUGGGAAACGAUGUGGGAAGGCCCAGACAGCCAGGAUGUUGGCUUAGAAGCAGCCAUCAUUUAAAGAAAGCGUAAUAGCUCACUGGUCGAGUCGGCCUGCGCGGAAGAUGUAACGGGGCUAAACCAUGCACCGAAGCUGCGGCAGCGACACUGUGUGUUGUUGGGUAGGGGAGCGUUCUGUAAGCCUGCGAAGGUGUGCUGUGAGGCAUGCUGGAGGUAUCAGAAGUGCGAAUGCUGACAUAAGUAACGAUAAAGCGGGUGAAAAGCCCGCUCGCCGGAAGACCAAGGGUUCCUGUCCAACGUUAAUCGGGGCAGGGUGAGUCGACCCCUAAGGCGAGGCCGAAAGGCGUAGUCGAUGGGAAACAGGUUAA
rnacentral:rRNA from 1 species